rnacentral:rRNA from 1 species
GACGAACGCUGGCGGCGUGCUUAACACAUGCAAGUCGAGCGGUAAGGCCCUCGGGUACGACGAGCGGCGAACGGGUGAGUAACACGUGGGUGACCUGCCUUUAGUCUCUGGGAGUAAGCCUGGGAAACGUAGGGUCGUAAUACCGGAUAUGACCUCAUGAUGCAUGUUGGUGGGGUGGAAAGCCUUGUGCGGCUGGAGAUGGGCCCGCGGCCUAUCAGCUUGUUGGU